UACCAGCACCCCGAGCGGUCGGGACGAUUAUUGGGCCUAAAGCAUCCGUAGCCGGUCAUGCAAGUCUUCCGUUAAAUCCAGCCGCUCAACGGUUGAGCUGCGGAGGAUACUACGUGGCUAGGAGGCGGGAGAGGCAAGCGGUACUCAGUGGGUAGGGGUAAAAUCCUUUGAUCCAUUGAAGACCACCAGUGGCGAAGGCGGCUUGCCAGAACGCGCUCGACGGUGAGGGAUGAAAGCUGGGGGAGCAAACCGG
rnacentral:rRNA from 1 species